AACAAGGCGUACCUGCGGACCUGCGGAAGGAUCAUUACCGAGUUUACAACUCCCAAACCCAUGUGAACAUACCUAUCGUUGCUUCGGCGGGAUCGCCCCGGGCGCCUCGUGUGCCCCGGAUCCGGCGCCCGCCUAGGAACCUUAACUCUUGUUUUAUUUUGGAAUCUUCUGAGUAGUUUUUACAAAUAAAUAAAAACUUUCAACAAUGGAUCU
rnacentral:misc_RNA from 1 species